GACGAACGCUGGCGGCGUGCUUAACACAUGCAAGUCGAGCGGUAAGGCCCUUUCGGGGGUACACGAGCGGCGAACGGGUGAGUAACACGUGGGUGACCUGCCCUCAGCUCUGGGAUAAGCCUGGGAAACCGGGUCUAAUACUGGAUAUGACUCCAUGACGCAUGUUGUGGGGUGGAAAGCCUUGUGCGGCUGAGGAUGGGCCCGCGCCUAUCAGCUUGUUGGUGGGGUGANGGCCUACCAAGGCGACGACGGGUAGCCGGCCUGAGAGGGCGACCGGCCACACUGGGACUGAGACACGGCCCAGACUCCUACGGGAGGCAGCAGUGGGGAAUCUUGCGCAAUGGGCGAAAGCCUGACGCAGCGACGCCGCGUGAGGGAUGACGGCCUGG
rnacentral:rRNA from 1 species